UUUGGGAUAUGAUGAUAAGAAUGCUUACAGAGGCAUUAGCUCUGCUGAAUUAUACUUAUUUGCACGUCAGUCUGAUCCUAAA